rnacentral:lncRNA from 7 species
CUUUGGCCAUUUUUAUUUAUUUCUUUUUAUCUUCUAUGGGCCACCACAGAAGGCGCCACUUCUCUCCGCGUCCCCAUCACGCAUCACUCCCCACUUGCUUUUCUCGGGGCACAUCCGAGCUGUAUCUUGGUUGUUCCAUUGCUUACACGUAUGCAGUGAUGACAUUCAGACCAUACAGAGGAUGUGCAUCCCUUCAUGCAGAGCACAGCACCCCCUUGGAGCAGAGCCAUGCGCUCAGGAGGGCUGAGGCUCUCCCCAGCUCUGUGCUCACUGCUCCUCUGCCCUCACAGCUCUGGACAAAGCCUUGCUGAGCACAUCAGCUGUGGGGUACAGAGCCCCAGCAUGGCCUGGGAGAGCUGGAGGUGCUUAGGAAGGAUCACAGCCCGAACGGAGGCUUCUGGAAGAGAGCCCACAUGAGGGUGAUGGUGUUUCUCUAACCCCGUAUUGACUUUGGCUUCCAGAAUCAAUUUUCUUUAUUAGCUGAUGAAUCUCUUCAAAGACUUUCUGUACUGAAUCUAGAUAAAUUAUUUAAGCAGUAAAUUCCUUCCACUCCAGCACAGUUACAGUGUGGUGAUUUAAUAGGGAAGAGAGGCAGAGAGGUUUAGGGACAAGGUCACAGCGAGCAGAACAUCUGAGCAGUAAUAGGUUUGCUAAUAAGUGAUCGUACACCAAAGAACAGAGUGUAAAACAGAUGCAAUUAUUAAGAAACAGAUAUUCAGCAAAAGACUGGGAUUAGUGGCGAAUACGAGGAGCAAGUCAUCAGAGACCGUAGUCUUAAUUAUUUACGCAAGCAAAUUGCUGUCAAUGAGAGGAGCCACGUAUCUGAUUCAGGAGCUGGUGGACACGUUCCUGGUGCUGUAUGGGCUGCAGACCUACAGACACACCGGGAGCUGCUGCAGGAGGAGAUGCACAAAGGCACAAGCAGCAGCACAGCAGUGAGUUCGCAAACAUCCACGCAGCACUCGUGGUUCCAGGAGCCUGCUGCAAGCCUCCUGCUCUGCACACCUGUUGGAGCACGAGGUCGGAGAAUUCAAAUGUAUUUAUAGCCAGCAAAAGGAAAUGAUUGUGUUAAACGGCAGCUGAAGGAUGCAGGGACCCAACAGAACCAUUGGCUGCAGCCAUCCAUAAUGUCACU